rnacentral:rRNA from 1 species
CUACGGGUGGCACCAGUUAGGAAUAUUGCACAAUGGGGGAAACCCUGAUGCAGCGACGCUGCGUGAGUGAGGAAGGCCUUCGGGUCGUAAAGCUCUGUCAGGAGGGAAGAAACUAGCAAGCAUCAGAUCCUUGCUAUUGACGGUACCUCCAGAGGAAGCACCGGCUAACUCCGUGCCAGCAGCCGCGGUAAUACGGAGGGUGCAAGCGUUGUUCGGAAUUACUGGGCGUAAAGAGCAUGUAGGCGGUCUUGUAAGUCAGAUGUGAAAGCCCUCGGCUCAACCGAGGAAUUGCAUUUGAAACUACAAAACUAGAGUUCGGUAGAGGAAGGCGGAAUUCCCAGUGUAGGAGUGAAAUCCGUAGAUAUUGGGAGGAACACCGGUGGCGAAGGCGGCCUUCUGGACCUGAACUGACGCUGAGAUGCGAAAGCGUGGGUAGCAAACAGGAUUAGAUACCCUAGUAGUC